GCACUCAGGGGCUGCAGUCGCGAUCGGAUGAUCGGUGGGUGCGGGUUGCCGGUCGGGAACGCGCAAGGUGUUCCAUCGACGAGUGAGGGAUCUCGGAGCGGUAGAUUCGGAGCGGCGAAAUCGCCAGGGACAUCUGCGCGCGGCCGGCGAGCUAUGGUUCUCACGAGCGUUUCUCAGGCGCCACUCGAUCGCGAGGCGUACGUCCCUGCGAGGCGACGUCGCUCUUGAGUAAGCUGGGAGCCGUCGAAGAACGUGAAGUGGAUCCUGGGGGAAGAGGAGCCGGCGAGAACGCGAGGGGAGGAACGUCGAGAAGGAGAGAAUUCAGUGCGCCGCGUCAGGAUCGACCUCGGCACCGCUUCCACGAUGUCGUACGCCAAUCGAUUCCCGUCCACUCAGCACACUCGUUAUCGCAGUAGCUGGGGACCAUCCUCGGUCUCUGUCUUCAACCGCGCCGAUGUGCCGCGACCCUCGCCAGAAGAGGAAGAGUUCGCCGACUUCUAUCACGAGCGGCUGCACUCGGCGCAGAGUCGUCAGCUGAUACCACUUCAGGAAGACUUGGCGGAUUGGAUUAACAAGACGAUAAAUGUGGAUUACAUAACGGGCGACAAUUUCUUCGACGUGCUCGACAAUGGCGUGGUUGUGUGUCGACUGGCGAGAGUCAUCCAGGAAAAAGCGAGAUCCGCGAUAGACGCCGGACGGGCGAAAGGACCAAUGCCGGUGAUAAGAGGCCGCUGUUGGGAGAACGCCGCGCGGCGCAGCUUCUUUUCCCGCGACAACAUGGAGAACUUCAUCCAAUUCUGCCGGCGGUUGGGCGUCCACGAGAAUCUUCUCUUCGAAAGCGACGAUCUCGUCCUACACGGCCAGCCACGGAACGUGGUGCUGUGUCUGCUGGAAGUUGCGCGACUGGCAGCUAGAUAUUCCUUGGAGCCACCCGGGCUCGUGCAGCUCGAGAGGGAAAUUGCGGCAGAGCAGGAAAGGGAUCUUCACUGUUUGUCCGAUAGCGGCAUAUCUCACAGCAGCCUCGUCUCCUGGCAGUUCCAGUCGCCGUCGCCGACUGCGACGCCCAGAACCCCGCCGGAGAAGAUCAAACACAGCAGCUCUGCGUCCGAAGUUACGACUACGGCCACUCGAUGGUUGGACCCGGUGACCGGUGCCACGCACGAGCCCGAAAUGCGGAGGUCCGUGAGCGACAAUGGUCCGACUGGCAGCGACGGCGUGCCGAGCGACACGACGGAGGAUGACUGGUCCCGUGGUAGCGCCGAGGACCCGGACGAGGUGCCGUCACCGUCAAGCUCGCCGUCACCGUCGCCGGCUGAACCACCGGAGCACACCGGCCCGAUAACAGAACUCGAUCGCAAGGUGCGGAGAGCCACCGAGGCCGUCCAGAGACUUUGCCAGUGCCCGUCGGAAAAGUGUUCCAAGUUAAAGGUGCGCAAGGUCGGCGAAGGCCGCUAUCACAUCGCUGGACGUAACGUCUUUAUAAGGCUCCUCAAGGGAAGACACAUGAUGGUGAGAGUGGGCGGCGGAUGGGACACCCUGGAGCAUUUUUUGGCGAGGCACGACCCCUGUCAGGUGAGGGUCCUCAACCGCGAGAGCACACCGCCACCCGCUCACGGCAACAAGCACGACAGCUUCCUGCACAUUCGCGCCAAGUACCGCAGCCCGCCGUCGGAGCCAACCUCGCGCCGGUCGUUAGCCUAAGAGCACGUAGUGCCUAAUCACGCGCCCGUGCGACCAUGCGACUCCGUCUGCCUCUCUCUCUCUCUCUCUCUCUUUCUCUCUCUCUCUCUCUCUCUCUCUCUCUAUGUCUCUCUUUCGCUCGCUCGCACGCGUGGCGCACGUGCGACUCAAGCAUCCUGCUCCUUAUACGGCUACAUCACCGCUACAUCCUCGCGUCUCGUCCCAUAGGGGCAGCCGAUGAUCCUCCGACUCGCGGAACACACGUCGACGUGCGGCGUCGCGUCGCGUCGCGCCGCGUCGCGCGCCGCCAAAUGACGCGACGAAAACGCGCGGCGGCUCGAGUUACCGUAGAGACGCGCAAUUUGCGCGACUCUCUCUCUUUCUCUCGCGUAUGAUACAUUCCUCUUGCCCAACUACUCUCGGUGAGUUGGCGACUUUGAGGGAGAACGACGGCAGUGGCCGAGAGCUUGCGGUUACACUCACAUGUAUACACACUCACAUGUACACACACUCACACACAUGCACAUAUUCCGAUAAGUUGUUCGCAAUGUUACCCGUGAGUCCGCCGGCGAAAAUCACGGUACGCACCGCCUAAGCCAAUUUGCAAUGAUGCCUCCUCUUCCUUACACUCGUACCUACUAUACACCUCAGAUCGUGUCAAGUGCGUACGCGCGUGUCGUGCUGCUGCAAUACGUAAUAACGCGUCAGUCACGGUGUAGAGACACACACGAAUCACUAUUUUUACUACGUCGUAAAGAGUGGUCGAGUAGCAUGUGUGCCGAAUGUGUGUAUCCUCGUAGACGUCGCAAUACGCCGCGGUUUCUGACGAAACCAAUCGGGCUAACCUGAGCUGAACACCUGAGGUUCCCAAGUGUGAGCAGCUUGGCCGGGUCUCCGAAUGCAGCCGGGGUAGCUUUGGCUAGUCUGUAUUAAUCGUAGACGUGCUCCAACUUACGCUUCUAUCUUGGGUUAUUAGUUCUUCAGGUGCUGAUGCAUUUUCCGCGCGUCUACUUGGACAUUCUUCGGCGGGUCCCAGGAAGUGUGAUGCACUCGGUAGUGGUAGUGUUAAGAUCGCAAUGACCAAACAUUAUUUUCAGAACUGUGUCGUCACGAUGUAACCGUAAUUACUGAUAAUAUAACGAUAACGGUAAUUUUUGAAUAAAUAUUCACUUUCUUGAUAAGCUCAAACGUACUGCGCUUGUAUGUGCAAUAAAGAGAAGAUAAAAGUGCAAUUAAAAUCUCAGGUAGGAUAUCGUCCGUAUAAAACGUGUCAUGCCUUAAGGGAAGAUGAAUGUGUCUCUCUUCACGACGAAAUUUCUUUGCAACAUGAUUUCUUCGAGCGACUAUCGCCGCUUAUUCCACUUCACAGCUCGAUAACAACGCAAAUACCCUGCAAUCGGGGUAUCUGCGUGAUUGUCCUCGUUACUGAAGUCAAAACGUUGUCUUUAACGUGCAGCAUCCAGCACAAUUUUGUUUUGGUCAUUGCUAUACCUUGCAAACUAAUACAUUAUUAUAGCGCACUGUCAUAUUUUGCGACGCGCGAGCACGAGGCACUUAUGAUAAUCACGUGGGGUCGGCCUGAUCAUGUACACACUGUAUACUCCAAGCUCCAUCCGAUUCAAGAACCGUUCUCGUGGGGGAACCUAUUCGAUUCGUCAAACUGACGAAUUUUUUCUCAUUCCCAUAACUGUACUGUUACUUGCGAGAGUCAAUUAACUGUCACCGGAAAUGUGGCACAGCUUGGAACAUCUGUCCGCUUUUGAAAAAUGCAAGGGUACAGUAUGCAAGGGAAUACCAAAGCAAAGAAACACGCGACGAGUAAUGUCGGCUCGUUGAGGCUAUCUAGAGUCAUCAGUCGCGAUCGGUUGCGUCAUGGAGUGUUGUCAAUUGUGGUAAUCCGUUCAUCGUCUUCGAUUAUCCUUUGCGAAGUAGAGUCAUGCGAUUUGCACGUAGGAAGGUUAGGUUGGACGAGUUAUCGUCGAAUAUAUAUAGAGCCUUGCGUUACACAGCUACGAUUACUUGCAAAAAAGGGUCACUUCUUACACUAGUAACUUAAACCGCCCUGCCUGAUCAACGCAACUUCGCCAUAUUAUGUAACUGUAAAUACGUUACCCCGAUGUGUGGACGAACAGUUAGUUAAAGUUUAAGUUAAUCGUACCUGCUUUACACACACACACAUACACACACAGACAGCGUUAAUGUUUGUCAGCGGAUUUUGCAUAUUAGUUAUAUAUAUAUUCUAUGUGUGUAAUAUAAGUUGUUAAUUUAUACACGGUCGGCUGCCUUUUUAUCAGGAACUACGCAAGGGACGUUUGAAUUUUGUCGAUGUGCGCUGAUAUUAUUACGAUGCACACAUAUCGUAGCGAGUAGGAGACAUACUUUGAUGAUACUGUAAUAUUAUCAAUUUAGUUGGGUCAUUGUUUCGGCGAGGCGUUAAAGCGGUCUAAUCGAUACACUCGUAUAUACACAUACACGCGUAUUUUUAAAUGGGCUACCAUUAGGUACCACCGUUUCAUCGUAAUGAUUCGACUAUUAAUUAGUACUGUAACAACAUUAUAUCGCGUAUGCUAUGUUCAGCUUUUGUUCGUAAUAACUGUACUAAACCUUCGUGAGUUGCAAGAUUGUGUCCAAUAUGUACAUAUGUGCAUUUGGUUUCAGCGCGGAUUGGACACUUCUCGAUGCAGUUUGGAAAGCAGUCAAAUCUAAUGAGAGAAUUUUUUCUUAAUAUCCAUAAAUUCUCUUAUCUGAUAGAUUCUCUUAUCAGAAAUCAUCGGCUGCGUUUCAAACUCAGAGAAGUGCUAAACCGUUGUGAAACGGGUAUGCAACGGGUAUAUAUGACAUCAUCUUAUCGAUUCAACUUACGUUCGAUGCUAUCAUGUCAGUCGUUACAUUUUGUUGAACAAUAAAACAUUUGACUGUAAUCUUAAAAAUGUUACUGGAAUAUAUACUACGUAUAGAAAAGGCGGGUCAUUUUUUUUUACGACACUUAAAUCGCUUUCUUAUCAUGUGAAAGCACGGACCUUCCUUCUGAACUUUUUUUACCUGUGUAUUGCAAUGUAAUUUUUCUUUACCAAGUUAUUUAAUACUGAAAUAAAAUGCCACUUUAACUUCAGUUUAAUCCGCGAAAGUAGAUCGAAUUGAUGUGAGACACUCGUUAUAAGAGGUGAAUAGAAAGCUAAAAGUCUUUUCUUUAAAGCAAGUUCUUAAAAUAACUUUUAAGAAAAAUGAUUUUUCAAUAUAGAUACAAAUCAAGGAUGAAAUUGGAAAUUGAAUGUUUAUUUUUAAUUUGAUCUCAAUACAACUCGAUAUUGCCUACUGAA
rnacentral:misc_RNA from 1 species